rfam:Laetiporus sulphureus 93-53 unplaced genomic scaffold LAESTscaffold_2, whole genome shotgun sequence.
AUGAGUAUAGUUUAAUGGUAAAACUGUUACCUUCCAAGUAGUUCUUGUCAGUUCGAUUCUGGCUACUCAUA